CGGAGUUCAUCGCGCUGAGGUCCCCGAACCUGCGGGGAUGAACUCUUCGUACGGCUGCGAACGGGGGCCGCUCCGCCCUGGAGCCCCGAGCUGCUGCAGCGGGGUCACGGCCUUCGUGCUCGAUGCGAUCGCGGCAGAGCUGGCUGGAGGUGCUUCCCAGGCCACAGUAAGUGUGCUGUACAAAUGUCAGUGUGCCAGUCCUGUGUGCUCGCUGUGACGCGCUGCCUUGCAGUGGGACAUCUCUCCAGGGGAAAGCCCAGUGUGAUCCUUCCCUGCCAUACCAAGAGAACUGCAAUCCCUCGUCUCCUCAGCCUUUGUGCCCACUUACAUUGUUUGCUUUGAAUGUCUGGAGCCAUCUUGAAACUGAAUCCCUACAAACUGUUCAGAAUGGAAGUGCUGCUCAUUCCAAGACACAAAUGGAUUUGGUUUGUGAUGAUUUGAAGCUCUCUGGUGUAAAAGAGAAUGAAAAAUUAAUAUAAAAAAGCCAACAUAUAUAUGUGUGUAUAUAUAUAUUUAAAUUCAGUGUAUCCUUAAAAAAUGCUUCAAUGCUUCUUUCAUUUCGUCGGUGUGGACUUCUAUAGUGAAGGAUUUUUCUGUCCUUACUAAAAUAUGGGCAAAAGUUAAACAUGAAAAUAAGAAGUCUUUGGGUGU
rnacentral:lncRNA from 1 species